AACGAACGCUGGCGGCAUGCCUAACACAUGCAAGUCGAACGAGACCUUCGGGUCUAGUGGCGCACGGGUGCGUAACGCGUGGGAACCUGCCCUUAGGUUCGGAAUAACUCCCCGAAAGGGGUGCUAAUACCGGAUAAUGUCUUCCGACCAAAGAUUUAUCGCCUUUGGAUGGGCCCGCGUUGGAUUAGCUAGUUGGUAGGGUAAAAGCCUACCAAGGCGACGAUCCAUAGCUGGUCUGAGAGGAUGAUCAGCCACACUGGGACUGAGACACGGCCCAGACUCCUACGGGAAGCAGCAGUGGGGAAUAUUGGACAAUGGGCGAAAGCCUGAUCCAGCAAUGCCGCGUGAGUGAUGAAGGCCUUAGGGUUGUAAAGCUCUUUUACCCGGGAUGAUAAUGACAGUACCGGGAGAAUAAGCUCCGGCUAACUCCGUG
rnacentral:rRNA from 1 species